UACAGAGGUGGCAAGCGUUGUUCGGCCUUACUGGGCGUAAAGGGCGCGUAGGCGGCCUGUUAAGUCCCGUGUGAAAUCCCUCGGCUCAACCGAGGAACUGCACGGGAAACUGGCGGGCUUGAGUUCGGGAGAGGGAAGCGGAAUUCCGGGUGUAGCGGUGAAAAGCGUAGAUAUCCGGAGGAACACCGGUGGCGAAGGCGGCUUCCUGGACCGACACUGACGCUGAGGCGCGAAAGCUAGGGGAGCAAACGGG
rnacentral:rRNA from 1 species